rnacentral:rRNA from 1 species
AUACGGAGGAUGCAAGCGUUAUCCGGAUUUAUUGGGUUUAAAGGGUGCGUAGGCUGUUCGGAAAGUCAGGGGUGAAAGCCCGGCGCCUAACGCCGGAACUGCCUUUGAUACUUCCGAGCUGGAAUACGGAUGCCGUGGGAGGAAUGAGUAGUGUAGCGGUGAAAUGCAUAGAUAUUACUCAGAACACCGAUUGCGAAGGCAUCUCACGAAUCCGUCAUUGACGCUGAGGCACGAAAGCGUGAGGAUCAAACAGGAUUAGAUACCCUGGUAGUCCACGCAGUAAACGAUGAUGACUAACCGUCGGCGAUACACAGUCGGUGGCCAAGCGAAAGCGAUAAGUCAUCCACCUGGGGAGUACGUUCGCAAGAAUGAAACUCAAAUGAAUUGACGGGG